rnacentral:rRNA from 1 species
UACGGAGGUGCCGAGCGUUAGGCGGAAUCACUGGGCUUAAAGCGUGUGUAGGCGGGCGGGCAAGUACCUUGUGAAAUCCCACGGCUCAACCGUGGAACGGCUGGGUAUACUGCCUGUCUUGAGCCAACUAGGGGCGAGCGGAACAGACGGUGGAGCGGUGAAAUGCGUAGAUAUCGUCUGGAACGCCGAAGGUGAAAACAGCUCGCUGGGGUUGUGGCUGACGCUGAGACACGAAAGCCAGGGGGAGCGAACGGG